UGGGGAAUAUUGCACAAUGGGCGCAAGCCUGAUGCAGCCAUGCCGCGUGUAUGAAGAAGGCCUUCGGGUUGUAAAGUACUUUCAGUCGGGAGGAAGGUGUCAAGGUUAAUAACCUUGGCAAUUGACGUUACCGACAGAAGAAGCACCGGCUAACUCCGUGCCAGCAGCCGCGGUAAUACGGAGGGUGCAAGCGUUAAUCGGAAUUACUGGGCGUAAAGCGCACGCAGGCGGUUGAUUGAGUCAGAUGUGAAAUCCCCGGGCUUAACCCGGGAAUUGCAUCUGAUACUGGUCAGCUAGAGGCUUGUAGAGGGGGGUAGAAUUCCAGGUGUAGCGGUGAAAUGCGUAGAGAUCUGGAGGAAUACCGGUGGCGAAGGCGGCCCCCUGGACGAAGACUGACGCUCAGGUGCGAAAGCGUGGGGAGCAAACAGG
rnacentral:rRNA from 1 species